AGAUGAGACCAUACAAGCACUAACGCAUUGGAUUCCAUUAUACACUUCCAAAGUUAAGUUUACUUGGGUGAGAGUAGUAUUAGGAUGGGUAACCCCUGAAAAGUCCUCGUAUUGCACCCG
rnacentral:rRNA from 1 species